AGUGAACGCUGGCGGUGGGCCUAACACAUGCAAGUCGAACGGCAGCACAGUAAGAGCUUGCCCUUACGGGUGGCGAGUGACGGACGGGUGAGGCAUACAUCGCAAUCUACUUUUUCGUGGAUGAUAACGGAAGACAACUUACGCUAAUACCGCAUACGUCCUACGGGUGAAAUCAAGAGAGCAUCGGACCUUUCCCGUCUGAAUGAGCCGAUGCCGGAUUAGCUAGUUGGCUGGGUAAAGGCCCACCAAGGCAACGAUCCGUAGCCGAUCUGAGAGGAUGAUCAGCCACACUGGAACUGAGACACGGUCCAGACUCCUACGGGAGGCAGCAGUGGGGAAUAUUGGGCAAUGGGCGAAAGCUUGACGGAGCAAUGCCGCGUGGGUGAAGAAGGUCUUCGGGUUGUAAAGCUCUGUUAUUGGGAAAGAAAAGAAGUGGGUUAAUAUAUGGAUGUUUUGACGGUACCUAAAGAGUAAGCCACGGCUAACUACGUG
rnacentral:rRNA from 1 species